UCAGAACGAACGCUGGCGGCAGGCUUAACACAUGCAAGUCGAACGCCCCGCAAGGGGAGUGGCAGACGGGUGAGUAACGCGUGGGAACAUACCCUUUCCUGCGGAAUAGCUCCGGGAAACUGGAAUUAAUACCGCAUACGCCCUACGGGGGAAAGAUUUAUCGGGGAAGGAUUGGCCCGCGUUGGAUUAGCUAGUUGGUGGGGUAAAGGCCUACCAAGGCGACGAUCCAUAGCUGGUCUGAGAGGAUGAUCAGCCACAUUGGGANUGAGACACGGCCCAAACUCCUACGGGAGGCAGCAGUGGGGAAUAUUGGACAAUGGGCGCAAGCCUGAUCCAGCCAUGCCGCGUGAGUGAUGAAGGCCUUAGGGUUGUAAAGCUCUUUCACCGAUGAAGAUAAU
rnacentral:rRNA from 1 species